rnacentral:rRNA from 1 species
GUUCCAUCCUCCUCUUUAAUACGGAGGGUGCGAGCGUUAAUCGGAAUGACUGGGCGUAAAGGGCAUGUAGGCGGGUCAUUAAGUUAGGUGUGAAAUCCCCGGGCUCAACCUGGGAACUGCACUUAAAACUGGUGGUCUGGAGUAUUGUAGAGGAAGGUAGAAUUCCACGUGUAGCGGUGAAAUGCGUAGAGAUGUGGAGGAAUACCGGUGGCGAAGGCGGCCUUCUGGACAAAUACUGACGCUGAGAUGCGAAAGCGUGGGGAGCAAACAGGAUUAGAAACCCUGGUAGUCC